rnacentral:misc_RNA from 1 species
GAUGAAGAACGUAGCGAAAUGCGAUAAGUAAUGUGAAUUGCAGAAUUCAGUGAAUCAUCGAAUCUUUGAACGCAUCUUGCGCUCCCUGGUAUUCUGAGGAGCAUGCCUGUUUGAGUGUCAUUAAAUUCUCAACCGCACUGACUUUGAAUUGGUGUGGCUUGGAUUUGGGGGGAAAAUUGUUGUGGGCUUUUUUGUAUAGUCUGCUCCCCUGAAAUUGAUUAGCGGUACCUUUGUGGAACUGUCUACAGGUGUGAUAAUUAUCUACAUCCUAGACAUCUGCUGGAAUGCUGCUUUCUAAACCUUACUUGUAUUGACAAUCUUGACCUCAAAUCAGGUAGGACUACCCGCUGAACUUAAGCAUAUCAAUAAGCGGAGGA